rnacentral:rRNA from 1 species
AUACGUAUGUGGCGAGCGUUGUUCGGAAUUACUGGGCAUAAAGGGCUCGUAGGCGGGUCGGUCAGUCAGAGGUGAAAUCCCCCGGCUUAACCGGGGAACGGCCUUUGAUACUGCCGGUCUUGAGUGCGGUAGGGGAGAGUGGAACUCCUGGUGGAGCGGUGAAAUGCGUAGAUAUCAGGAGGAACGCCGGAGGCGAAAGCGACUCUCUGGGCCGCAACUGACGCUGAGGAGCGAAAGCCAGGGGAGCGAACGGGAUUAGAAACCCCAGUAGUCC